GCAUCCUUUGCUUGGAAUUGCUUGUAAAUAGUUAUUUGAUAAAGCAGUAAGUGCUAGAUAUGGUAUAUAAACGCUAAAUGAUUCAUAAUGAAGAGAAUCUUACAAAUCUUUUUAAAAAUCUCUGCACACUUAUGUAGAUCAAUUACAAAAACAGAAUAUAAUGAGUUCUAGAAACUGCAGAUUGGUAAUUUUUGACUUGUAAUUGCUUGAUGAGGAUCAUCAGAUGAUAAGCAGCGAAUGCUAGCCAUGGAUAUUAGCAAUGCUUUCUCUACAUCUUUAGUCAUACGCCAUUGAAUUAAAUCAAUUAUGUACUCCAUAAAGCCUGCUUCACAUGGCAAUAUGAGAGGACUAUUGCCCGCCAAUCCAAACUCUUCUUCAGCGAGAUCGAAUAGUUCUUUGACGAUACCAUUGUUAAGAUAUUCUAAAGGAAGCACAAAGCGUCUUUGAUCAAUUGUGUACACCACAAAGUGACCCUUCUCAACUGUGUACGAUGUGCUACAACUUUCUGCAUCCACAAUCUCAGUGUUUCUUGGCAUUGUGAUUACUUUUCGCCUUAGAGAAACCAUCC
rnacentral:misc_RNA from 1 species